rnacentral:rRNA from 1 species
AUGAACGCUGGCGGCGCGCCUAAUACAUGCAAGUCGAGCGAACGGACGAGAAGCUUGCUUCUCUGAUGUUAGCGGCGGACGGGUGAGUAACACGUGGAUAACCUACCUAUAAGACUGGGAUAACUUCGGGAAACCGUAGCUAAUACCGGAUAAUAUUUUGAACCGCAUGGUUCAAAAGUGAAAGACGGUCUUGCUGUCACUUAUAGAUGGAUCCGCGCUGCAUUAGCUAGUUGGUAAGGUAACGGCUUACCAAGGCAACGAUGCAUAGCCGACCUGAGAGGGUGAUCGGCCACACUGGAACUGAGACACGGUCCAGACUCCUACGGGAGGCAGCAGUAGGGAAUCUUCCGCAAUGGGCGAAAGCCUGACGGAGCAACGCCGCGUGAGUGAUGAAGGUCUUCGGAUCGUAAAACUCUGUUAUUAGGGAAGAACAUAUGUGUAAGUAACUGUGCACAUCUUGACGGUACCUAAUCAGAAAGCCACGGCUAACUACGUG